AUGGUAAUAAAAAUAAAUGAAAACACACAAUUAUCUAAAGAACCGGCUCUGUGGACAGAGUUUUGAGAACCAGAGAGAGACGCAUACGUGUCAAUCCCUGAUGAUUUUUAACAAAAAAAAACGCGUUCUGUUUCUCUCUUCAUCGUAAAGUUCUUUCUCGACUCUCUUUCUCUUUAUCAUCUCUUGCCGGAUGCGAUUCACCUGAGAUUUCCUUGAAUCCGUUUAUUGCUCUUCGCGAUGGCUCUUAUCCUGAUUCACCAACCGUCUCUUUAAUUCCCGAUAGCCAUGGCUCUUCUCCUCACACGAUUAUUCCGAUUUCGUCUGAGGGAGCUAAAUUGAUCGAUUUCGUGCUAAACGUUGUUAGAAAGGAAGCUGAGAAUUGCGACUGCUUACAAGGAAUCUUGGAAACUGGAUUCUUCGUUGGCUUGAUCGGAUGAAACCAGCAGCUCAUAUCCGUACUCAACCAUUCUGGUGAUGGUUUUGGCCGCCCCGAAGACAUUUCUGAUCAGCGGUGUGAUCAUGGUUCUUGGAUUAUGCUUGUACCCAUUCUUAACACUCGUUAAGGAGAACCUGAGUUGAAAUAUGUAAAAACCUGAGUAAAUUCAUUCAGUUUUGUUGAUCUCUGCCCAAACUUUCUAAUUCCAGUUCUUGAGUUUUACACA